UAGGGAAUUUUCCACAAUGGGGGCAACCCUGAUGGAGCAACGCCGCGUGCAGGAUGAAGGCUUUCGGGUCGUAAACUGCUUUUAUGUGAGAAGAAUAUGACGGUAACACAUGAAUAAGGGUCGGCUAACUACGUGCCAGCAGCCGCGGUCAUACGUAGGACCCAAGCGUUAUCCGGAAUUACUGGGCGUAAAGAGUUGCGUAGGUGGUUUGUUAAGCGGUGUGUGAAAUCUUGUGGCUCAACCAUGAGACUAUGCACUGAACUGACAGACUUGAGUAUAGAAGAGGUAUCUGGAAUUCCCAGUGUAGGAGUGAAAUCCGUAGAUAUUGGGAGGAACACCGAUGGCGUAGGCAGGAUACUGGUCUAUUACUGACACUAAGGCACGAAAGCGUGGGGAGCAAACG
rnacentral:rRNA from 1 species